GUCAAUGAUUAUAGGUUGAAGAGGAUUUGCAAAUCAUUUUUUUAUUUCCAUUUUACACAACGUCCCAACUUCACUGGAAUUGGGGUUGUACGAGUAUAUAAAUAAAUGAAUGAUAGGGUGCCUGAAACAUAUGCACAGAACUGUAUUUCACAUUACUUAGGCUGCCAUCCUUAAACUGUGUAACAGGGCAGAUAUGUGAAAUAUAUGUGCAAAAUUUGGUGUCUUUACCAUAAAAUGCUGAGACAUUAGUUGAAUAAUAAUAAUUUUAUUAAUAUAUUAUCAUUUACAUCAUGCCAAGCUCAAAUGUUUUUUUUUGUUACAUUUUUUUAUGAAUGUAAUUGUGGUUGGAAUGGAUUCAACAUGCAAGAAAAUGACACUACAUUUGUGUCUGAAUGACACAUGAAGUGUAAUUUUCUGCUUCCAUACAAGCCAACUGACCAAAAAAAAAAAAAAAAAAAAAGCAGCACAUCUACAUUUUUAUUAUAUAUAAUUGAACAUUGUCUGUACAAAAUUUGGUUUUUGUUCUUAACCAUAAAAUGCACAAUCAUAGUGGUAAUUUACACAUAUCUGCUCUGCUACAAUGUAAAAGCACAAACGUCCAGUCAGGUCCAAACUAUCCAGGCGAAGGUAUCACAGUUCAAAUCAAAUAAUAACAAAAAAAAAAAAAAAAACAUGGUCAAAGUCAAACUUUUAUGUUUGACAUUGGUGUUUACAUCACUUUUUUUUGUACAGGGUCUUUCAGCUUUAACACUACAAUUAAAGCUGAAAUUUGGCAUCGAGUUCAUACUUUUUCCAUCUGCAUCCUGUUGUGUUGGACGGUUAAAAAGGCUGCCGGUAUGCGUGAACCCUUUACUAAUGGAGCUCAGUGCCGGAUGCCUUGAUCACACCGUGUCACACGCUCAGAGGCAACACGAACAUCACACGGUCCCACUACCAGGAAUAAGAAGUCAAAAGUAAACAUCUGAACAUAAGCGUGUGUGUGUGUUUAACUUCACAAAUGGGAACAUGGGACAGAUGUGACUAAACCAAGGAAGUGGACCAACUUAUGGAGCAGAAUGACAUUAAAAAUCAUAGGGUCUGAACAGCCUGAGUUUCUAUUCUUGGGGAGGG